CCUACGGGAGGCAGCAGUGAGGAAUAUUGGUCAAUGGACGAGAGUCUGAACCAGCCAAGUAGCGUGAAGGAUGACUGCCCUAUGGGUUGUAAACUUCUUUUAUAUGGGAAUAAAAUGUUCCACGUGUGGGAUUUUGUAUGUAUCAUAUGAAUAAGGAUCGGCUAACUCCGUGCCAGCAGCCGCGGUAAUACGGAGGAUCCGAGCGUUAUCCGGAUUUAUUGGGUGUAAAGGGAGCGUAGGUGGAUUGUUAAGUCAGUUGUGAAAGUUUGCGGCUCAACCGUAAAAUUGCAGUUGAAACUGGCAGUCUGGAGUACAGUAGAGGUGGGCGGAAUUCGUGGUGUAGCGGUGAAAUGCUUAGAUAUCACGAAGAACUCCGAUGGCGAAGGCAGCUCACUGGACUGCAACUGACACUGAGGCUCGAAAGUGUGGGUAUCAAACAGGAUUAGAUACCCCAGUAGUC
rnacentral:rRNA from 1 species